rnacentral:lncRNA from 1 species
UCGUGUGAUUGGGCGAUUAGGUAUAGGAACUUGGUAUGUAGUUUUCUUCUUACGGCCACCUAUGGCUGCAGCAAUAUUUAGAAGGCUCAGUUGGGAUAACAAUUAGACGAUAAGGGUUGCUUCGAGGGAACCCAAAACCUCCAAGUUAGACAAGCUAACAAUAAGGGAUAAUAUCUGAUAUCUCAUUAAUGAAAAGCCACUGAAAUUUAUACAAACAAGGACUCUAACUGAAAGCUUAGAAAGGGGGAAACUUCUCCCAUGACGCCCACUAUAAAAGUGGAUAACAUGACUCCUAAAACUACUCAACAACUAAAGACAUGCAAACUCCUACAAUUAUGCAACAACUAAUAACCAUGUAACUAUCUCCACUCACUCAUGAGAGAGCACGUGACACUAGACUAGAUAUCCUUGGCUAUAUUCUAAAACCCCAGCCCCCUUUCUCCCAAAAAAUACUUUAGAGUCGUUUUCAUUUUGAGGGGGGAGGAAGUCACUCUUCUUCCUUCUCUCUCCCCUCCUCUCUUCCUAUCAUCUCCCUUCUCAUCUCUUCCCCCAUUUCCAAAGACAGAAGGUUUCUCCUAUUUGUCAUCGCUUUAUUGCAAUUUUCCUCCAUCCAUCACAUGCGGUUGUGUCUUGGUGUCGAAUCUCCACUUGCGUUCCCGUGUCAGAUCUCUACCACCAUCCUUUUUGCGGUUUCUUUAAGUUUGGAAUAAGUCGCAAAGACUCUUUGAGUUUUCUGUGUAAUUUUCACCUCUCAUUUUGUGAGAGUUUUAUUUGUAUUUUUAUGGUUUGGUUUUUUCAAACUUUAUCUCUUUUUGGUUGUUCUAAAUUUGCAAUCUUAGUUGGGAUACCUAUGCCUGAGUUUCUUCAAUCUUGUAUGAUCGUUAAUGAAGGCACAACAGAUUGUCUUAAUUUUAAAAUUUCACAAAAUACUCCAAAAAUCCUAUAAAGAUUUUCUAAGACCAUUUCCAAUAUGGAGGGUCCUCAACUCAAAUUUUGGGACCCUAAAAUAAUGACACAAAUGAUCCUAAACAAUGUUUCCUCCGACCCAGCAGUCCUAAACAAUUUGGGACCCUAGCUUUAUUAAUGGUUUAAACGUAAAUUUUAUUUUUUUCCGAUGAACUCUUUUUUGAGCCAACUUUAGUUUAAUUCAUUGUAAUUUAUUUUUACAAACAUUUUAACCAAAAUAAAACACAAUUUCUGAAAUAAAAUUUAUUUUAUAAAAACGAGUAAAACAGCAAAGUAAAUAAACACGAUUGCAACAACAAACGCAAGAUUGCUCGAAAAGAUAUAUAAUGAAUUUACUUCUUUUUUGUAAAUUUUUAGUGGUUAUUCCAACGGACACACAAUGUAACCUUUUGUUUACCUUGUCAAAGAAAAGAAUAAAUUUUUAAAUAAAAAAAAAUCAAAGGAGCAAUUAGAUUAAACCAAAUAGUGAAAUGAAUUAAAGUUUUUGGUUAAUUAACUGUUGUUUUGAACAAAUUUUAUAGAUACCAAGCAUGGUAAACCCAAAAUCAUUCCGAGUCAAAGAAGCACCUGAGAUUUUCUUGUAUUAACACUGGGAUGAAGAAUAUGAGAAAAUGAUUGAAUAUAUAUAUAUAUAUAUAUAUAUAUAUAUAUACAGAGAGCUUCCAUUGAGGGAUCCCUCAAAUAAGCUUAUUUGAGGGACACCCCUUGUAGGCCCCACUCCGGAUUGUAUUUCACUAAUCCAAACCGUCUAUUUUGUAGAUACUCAUUCAAAGAUCAUCUCUACAAAAAAUCACUUGAAUCCGAUAUCAUGUGACCACUCAAUUGAGUUAUUGAAAUUUUAGUACUUUUCUUAAAGCACCGUGUUCAUUGAUUUUGUAAGACACAAUUGGAUGUCGAAACAGUUUCCGAUUUGUCUAAUUUUUUGUAAGGAUGAUCUAUGAAUGAAUACCUAAAAAAUAGAUGGUUUGGAUUAUUGGGAAAAGAAUUGUAGGGUACCCUAAAGGGCGUCCCUCAAAUAAAAUUAUUUGAGGGAUCCCUCAAUAGAAGGGGACUGUAUAUAUAUAUAUAUAUAUAUAUAUAUAUAUAUAUAUAUAAGGACAGUCAAAAUGGUUGAAGUUGGUGCCAAGUUGAAGUUUGAACUAAAUGAGGGUACACGACAGCAUGAUUACAAUCUCACAUAUGAAACCAAUGUUGGGACGGAAAGAGCAUUAUUGUCCUUUUUGACUAGGAGGGAGGGAGAGGAACCCAAUUCAUGAAAGCCAUGGCAGCAGCAAUAUUUUCUUCACGCUUGUAAACCUUUCAUUGGA